GCGUCGUAUGAAGAAUCGCUGUCGCAGCACACGAACAGGAAGCAUCUAGCUUCCCUUUUUCCGCUGUGGGGAAAGUCCCCGGAGACACAGAGUACCACCUCCUCGCCCACAUCGGAAAGCGCCCAGCUUCAAAUUUGCUGAGGGGGGGCGAGGUCGGUUGGGCAAGAUCGAUUUUACUGGCCCACUCCUAAGUUGGGCCAGUUCCGCUUGCCCGCUCUGUCGCUAGCUUGGAGCUCGGUUGCUCUUCCACCAGCGUAUUCAUGCGAAGAUAUGAGCAUGUUUGCGCUUGAGUAACUGGGUGAAUGGCCUGCUCUUUGUUGCUCAUAGACAUAGUUAUGCGAUUGUUGGCGUUUGCCUAACCGGCCGCUUUCAACUCAAUGGGGCUUAUUCUCAUCUCGACG
rnacentral:RNase_MRP_RNA from 2 species